GACGAACGCUGGCGGCGUGCCUAACACAUGCAAGUCGAGCGGAGAUGUACUGAAGAUUUAUCGGAUGUACAUCUUAGCGGCGGACGGGUGAGUAACGCGUGGGCAACCUGCCUUCCACUGGGGGAUAACACAGGGAAACCUGUGCUAAUACCGCAUGACAUCACAUAGGGCAUCCUGUGUGAUCAAAGGAGUGAUCCGGUGGAAGAUGGGCCCGCGUCCGAUUAGCUAGUUGGUGAGGUAACGGCUCACCAAGGCGACGAUCGGUAGCCGGACUGAGAGGUUGGCCGGCCACAUUGGGACUGAGACACGGCCCAGACUCCUACGGGAGGCAGCAGUGGGGAAUAUUGCGCAAUGGGGGGAACCCUGACGCAGCGACGCCGCGUGAAGGAAGAAGGCCUUCGGGUUGUAAACUUCUUUGAUGAGGGACGAAGGAAGUGACGGUACCUCAAAACAAGACCACGGCUAACUACGUGCCAGCAGCCGCCGGUAAUAGUC
rnacentral:rRNA from 1 species